rnacentral:lncRNA from 1 species
UUGUUCUUCUGACGCAGGUGGUAUCUGCGCACUAGUGCGCGACGUUAUCGCUCCGUGGUGCGAGGAAACGUUCGCUUGACCUUCCAUCAAUGUGCUAUUUGGCCGAUUCUUCCGCCAACCAGCGCUGCCCUGUACAUCCGCCAUAGGCUCCGCGGUUCCCUACCCUCCUUGUUCCACAAGACGCAUCGCCAGCAACAUCAAGCUUCCGCGGGCCUUUCAAUCUGCCACACUUGACGUGCUUCGCAGUGGGCAUGCAAAGCCGGCCAGCUUACAGACAUGCAAAAUGCUUGUCCUUCUG